rnacentral:rRNA from 1 species
AACGAACGCUGGCGGCAUGCCUAACACAUGCAAGUCGAACGAGACCUCCGUGUCUAGUGGCGCACGGGUGCGUAACGCGUGGGAACCUGCCCUUAGGUUCGGAAUAACUCCCCGUAAGGGGUGCUAAUACCGGAUAAUGUCUUCGGACCAAGGAUUUAUCGCCUUUGGAUGGGCCGGCGUUGGAUUAGCUAGUUGGUAGGGUAAAAGCCUACGAAGGCGUCGAUCCAUAGCUGGUCUGAGAGAAUGAUCAGCCACACUGGGACGGAGACACGGCCCAGACUCGUGCGGGAGGCGGGAGUGGGGAAUAUUGGACGAUGGGCGAAAGCCUGAUCCAGCAAUGGCGCGUGAGUGAUGAAGUCCUUAGGGAUGUAAAGCUCGUUUACCCGGGAUGAUAAUGACAGUACCGGGAGAAUAAGCCCCGGCUAACUCCGUG